GUGCCAGCCGCCGCGGUAAUACCGGCAGCCCGAGUGAUGGCCGAUCUUAUUGGGCCUAAAGCGUCCGUAGCUGGCUGCGCAAGUCCGUCGGGAAAUCCACUCGCCCAACGAGUGGGCGUCCGGCGGAAACUGCACGGCUUGGGACCGGAAGGCUCGAAGGGUACGUCCGGGGUAGGAGUGAAAUCCCGUAAUCCCGGACGGACCGCCGGUGGCGAAAGCGCCUCGGGAGGACGGAUCCGACGGUGAGGGACGAAAGCUAGGGUCUCGAACCGGAUUAGAAACCCGUGUAGUCC
rnacentral:rRNA from 1 species